CUAAAGACUAAGAGCUAUCUGUUCGAAGAAGACCUUUACUCUCUCUAAGGGACAUCAAGAACUAACCAGGGCGGGAAGAUCACUGGAUACCAGGAAGCCAAGAAACUAAAUAUUGGAAUUUGGACUAUGAUUUGAGAAUGCAGAUUGUUUGGCAUCAUACAGACAAGAUGCCUUCAAAUGGCCCCUACUCACCACAGAAUGGAGGUGAUAUUGUGGGGAACACAUAAAGAGCUUGGACCAAGCUUUUUCAGUAUACGCAUCCUACAAUCCUUGUGGUAUGAAGUACUAGGGCAGGUGUGCAGGAGCACAAGACAUAAGAUUUGUCCUCAGAGCUUGCUGUUUACUUGAGAAGAAGAGAGAUGAAUUGGUGAAAACAAGAAGCCUCAAGCUGUCCCCCUGGGU